UACGGAGGGUGCAGGCGUUAUCCGGAUUCACUGGGUUUAAAGGGAGCGUAGGUGGGUUGGUAAGUCAGUGGUGAAAUCCCCGAGCUUAACUUGGGAACUGCCAUUGAUACUAUCAGUCUUGAAUACUGUGGAGGUUAGCGGAAUAUGUCAUGUAGCGGUGAAAUGCUUAGAUAUGACAUAGAACACCAAUUGCGAAGGCAGCUGGCUACACAAUUAUUGACACUGAGGCUCGAAAGCGUGGGGAUCAAACAGG
rnacentral:rRNA from 1 species